ACUAAAAUAAGGAAUAAAUCCAGAAGCAGGGGAAGAUUCCAUAGGUUUACACAGUUUCAGAAUUG
rnacentral:lncRNA from 1 species